ACUAUACCUUGGUAUUGGCGUUAGGCGCGGAUUGUGUAGCAUAGGCGGGAGGCUUCGAAGCGUGGGCGCCAGCCCGUGUGGAGCCGCAAGGUGAAAUACCGCUCUGUUCUCGUUUGACGUCUAACCUCGAACAGUCAUCCUGUUCAGGGACAGUGCCUGGCGGGUAGUUUAACUGGGGCGGUUGCCUCCCAAAGAGUAACGGAGGCGCUCAAAGGUCCGCUCAGCCCGGUUGGCAAUCGGGUGUCGAGUGUAAUCGCACAAGCGGGCUUGACUGCGAGGACGACGGUCCGAGCAGGGACGAAAGUCGGAGAUAGUGAUCCGGUGCCGGCGCACGGGCGCGGCAUCGCUCAACGGAUAAAAGGUACCCCGGGGAUAACAGGCUGAUCAUUCCCAAGAGUCCAUAUCGACGGGAUGGUUUGGCACCUCGAUGUCGGCUCGUCGCAUCCUGGGGCUGGAGCAGGUCCCAAGGGUUCGGCUGUUCGCCGAUUAAAGCGGCACGCGAGCUGGGUUCAGAACGUCGUGAGACAGUUUGGUCUCUAUCCUCUGCGCUCGUUGGAAUCCUGAGGAGGCCUGCCCAUAGUACGAGAGGACCUGGGUGGACGAACCUCUGGUAUGCCGGUUGUCGCGCCAGCGGCACGGCCGGUUGGCUACGUUCGGGAGGGAUAACCGCUGAAAGCAUCUAAGCGGGAAGCCUGCUCCAAGAUUAGGAUUCCAUGGAUCUUCGAGAUCCUGUAGCCCGCAUGUUGAACACGUGUUUGAUAGGCCGGAGGUGGAAGCCCCGUGAGGGGUGGAGCCGACCGGUACUAACGGGCGACGGCGACACAAC
rnacentral:rRNA from 1 species